rnacentral:rRNA from 1 species
UGUUUGAUGUUCUAACGUGGACCCGUGAUCCGGGUUGCGGACAGUGUCUGGUGGGUAGUUUGACUGGGGCGGUCUCCUCCUAAAGAGUAACGGAGGAGCACGAAGGUUGGCUAAUCCUGGUCGGACAUCAGGAGGUUAGUGCAAUGGCAUAAGCCAGCUUGACUGCGAGCGUGACGGCGCGAGCAGGUGCGAAAGCAGGUCAUAGUGAUCCGGUGGUUCUGAAUGGAAGGGCCAUCGCUCAACGGAUAAAAGGUACUCCGGGGAUAACAGGCUGAUACCGCCCAAGAGUUCAUAUCGACGGCGGUGUUUGGCACCUCGAUGUCGGCUCAUCACAUCCUGGGGCUGAAGUAGGUCCCAAGGGUAUGGCUGUUCGCCAUUUAAAGUGGUACGCGAGCUGGGUUUAGAACGUCGUGAGACAGUUCGGUCCCUAUCUGCCGUGGGCGCUGGAGAACUGAGGGGGGCUGCUCCUAGUACGAGAGGACCGGAGUGGACGCAUCACUGGUGUUCGGGUUGUCAUGCCAAUGGCACUGCCCGGUAGCUAAAUGCGGAAGAGAUAAGUGCUGAAAGCAUCUAAGCACGAAACUUGCCCCGAGAUGAGUUCUCCCUGAGACUUUAAGUCUCCUGAAGGAACGUUGAAGACGACGACGUUGAUAGGCCGGGUGUGUAAGCGC